rnacentral:misc_RNA from 1 species
UCCCCGUUGAACGAGGCAGUCUCCCGUGAAAUGUAACACAGGACAGGGGUUUCGUUCGUUUGCCCACUUAAGGGUACAGCUCACGCCACGAACUGACGACGACCGUGCAUCAUCUGUCAUCCGGCUCCCGAAGGCACCCCCACAUUUCUGCAGGGUUCCGGAGAUGUCAAGGCCUGGUAAGGUUCCUCGCUUAGCAUCGAAUUAAACCACAUGCUCCACCGCUUGUGCGAGCCCCCGUCAAUUCCUUUGAGUUUUAGUCUUGCGACCGUACUUCCCAGGCGGCAGACUUCACGCGUUAGCUUCGCUACACAGAGGGUCGAUACUCCGAAUAGCUAGUCUGCAUCGUUUACGGCGUGGACUAC